rnacentral:rRNA from 1 species
UUGGAGAGUUUGAUCCUGGCUCAGGACGAACGCUGGCGGCGUGCUUAACACAUGCAAGUCGAACGAAGAGCGAUGGAAGCUUGCUUCUAUCAAUCUUAGUGGCGAACGGGUGAGUAACGCGUAAUCAACCUGCCCUUCAGAGGGGGACAACAGUUGGAAACGACUGCUAAUACCGCAUACGAUCUGACCUCGGCAUCGAGGAUAGAUGAAAGGUGGCCUCUAUUUAUAAGCUAUCACUGAAGGAGGGGAUUGCGUCUGAUUAGCUAGUUGGAGGGGUAACGGCCCACCAAGGCGAUGAUCAGUAGCCGGUCUGAGAGGAUGAACGGCCACAUUG